rnacentral:rRNA from 1 species
UACGGGGGGAGCAAGCGUUGUUCGGAUUUACUGGGCGUAAAGGGCGCGUAGGCGGCCAGCACAAGUCAGUUGUGAAAUCUCCGAGCUUAACUCGGAAAGGUCAACUGAUACUGUGCGGCUAGAGUGCAGAAGGGGCAACUGGAAUUCUUGGUGUAGCGGUGAAAUGCGUAGAUAUCAAGAGGAACACCUGAGGUGAAGACGGGUUGCUGGGCCAACACUGACGCUGAGGCGCGAAAGCCAGGGGAGCAAACGGG